rnacentral:rRNA from 1 species
GAGUCCGCGUCUCAUUAGCUAGUUGGUAGGGUAAUGGCCUACCAAGGCAACGAUGAGUAGCUGGUCUGAGAGGAUGAUCAGCCACACUGGAACUGAAACACGGUCCAGACUCCUACGGGAGGCAGCAGUGGGGAAUAUUGCGCAAUGGGCGAAAGCCUGACGCAGCAACGCCGUGUGAGGGAUGAAGGCUUUCGGGUCGUAAACCUCUGUCGGAAGGGAAGAACGGGCAUUGGUCUAAUAGGCCUUUGUUUUGACGGUACCUUUAGAGGAAGCACCGGCUAACUCCGUGCCAGCAGCCGCGGUAAUACGGAGGGUGCAAGCGUUAUUCGGAAUUACUGGGCGUAAAGCGCACGUAGGCCGCUUUGUAAGUCAGGGGUGAAAUCCCACGGCUCAACCGUGGAACUGCCUUUGAAACUGCAGAGCUUGAAUCCUGGAGAGGGUGGCGGAAUUCCUGGUGUAGGAGUGAAAUCCGUAGAUAUCAGGAGGAACACCGGUGGCGA